UAAGGCUUAGGUUAAUAAAACCACUUACCUUCAAAGCAAGUAAUCUGAGCAAUAAAUCUCGGAGCCUUAA
rnacentral:tRNA from 1 species